AUUAAAAAACCAACCUUUUUUGAAGCGGAAGAAGAAGAUGAAGAACGUGGCAGGAUUUGUCGCCCACAAUAUGACGCUACCUCUACGGCAUGGCUCCUCAUUUGCUAAUUUCACUACCCACCACCGCCCCUCUCAACCAAUAAUAGUACGGCGAGUAGUACAAACCAGAAUACCCACUCCGCAACCAUUUUACUCCUCCAUUUCACUUUCAUCUCCAACUCCAACUCGGCCGCGCCGUUGUAUUGUUUCCAUGGCCUCUUCUUCCACCGCUGAUUCACCAGCCCAGAAUGCAUCAGCAGCCGUUGAUGGUAGUGGCGGAGUCAAUGUGUUUCAGUUAGUUCAAGCUCAUCAGGAGAAGGCUGCUAGGCUGCCUCCAGUUGAAGAAAUAAAGACACUUCUUCAUCACAGCUUGCGUGCCAUGCUUUCCACCCUCUCUCUGAAGCAUGAAGGUUACCCAUCAGGAUCCAUGGUCGACUUUGCCUGUGAUGCUUACGGAUCUCCAAUUUUAGCAGUCAGCAACUUAGCUGUUCAUACCAAGGAUCUCUUGGCUAAUCCCAAGUGCUCAUUGCUUGUAGCAAAAGACCCUGCUGACAGGACUGAGAUAGUGAUAACAGUGCAUGGUGAUGCUGUCCCUGUUGCAGAAAAUGAUAAAGAAGCUAUUCGUACUGCAUACUUGGCAAGGCAUCCGGAUGCAUUUUGGGUUGACUUUGGUGAUUUCCAAUUUCUGCGUAUUGAACCCAGAGUCAUACGAUAUGUCUCAGGUGUCGCAACAGCUGCAUUGGGUUCAGGAGAAUUUAGCCCGGAGGAGUUUAGAUUAGCAAAAGUGGAUCCCAUUUAUCAGUUUUCCAAGCCUAUUGCGUCUCACAUGAACAAGGAUCAUGGAGAAGAUACAAAACUUAUUGUGCAACACUCAACAUCUAUUCCGGUUGAUUUUGCUCACAUACUGGACGUAGACAGCCUUGGUUUCAAUGUCAAGGCUGGCUAUCAAGGGAACACUUUAAAGCUUCGAAUCCCUUUUACUAGACGUGCUACAGAGAGGAAGGAUGUAAAAACUCUCAUAGUUGAAAUGCUUGACGCAGCUAAGAGCCAAGCCAAGUGACUCCGCAGAAAAGAGUAUAGCAUAUAGGAACAAGUGCAAUGUUAUUGUGGACUAGGGGCUACAAGUGUGCUGUUCAUCUGGUAAGCUACUUGUGUUAGAAGAAGCUCGUUAGGAAAGGCAAGCAUGUAAACCAUGAUUUGUCAGAGUCAAAGGAGAGAGCAAAAUACACAGGCCUUCGAACUUCUCUGAUUUUCUUUAUAUUAAGUAGUAGUAGAUAAUUGUGGCAUGAGCUUUCUACUUGGGUCUGCAAGGCUUCUUCGCUCUGAUAGGCAAACCAGAGUAUUGUGGAAAUAAGAAAAUAGUUGUUUCAUGUAAACAUGUUAUAUCAUACAUCCGGCGGUGGUAACUCUGAAUGAUAGUAAAAAUCAUGGGAAGCCGCUUCUCUAUGUAUAUAAUGAUAUGCUCCAUAAGAAUUUGUCUUCCUUUUUUUCUUGUUUAGUGAUGGUGGCAUAGGAGUAUGGUUGGUUAGAGAUUUGUUUCUCUUUCGAGGAAUUGCAAAUUGUUAUGAACUUGAGAUCGACGGAAUGGCAAGGUUGUACUGCUAAGUCGCAGGAUAAGAUGUUCUUGGCACU